rnacentral:rRNA from 1 species
CCUACGGGAGGCAGCAGUGAGGAAUAUUGGUCAAUGGACGAGAGUCUGAACCAGCCAAGUAGCGUGAAGGAUGACUGCCCUAUGGGUUGUAAACUUCUUUUAUAAAGGAAUAAAAUGAGGCACGUGUGCCUUUUUGCAUGUACUUUAUGAAUAAGGAUCGGCUAACUCCGUGCCAGCAGCCGCGGUAAUACGGAGGAUCCGAGCGUUAUCCGGAUUUAUUGGGUUUAAAGGGAGCGUAGAUGGGUUGUUAAGUCAGUUGUUAAAGUUUGGGGCUCAACCGUAAAAGUGCCAUUGAUACUGGCAGUCUUGAGUACAGUUGAGGUAGGCGGAAUUCGUGGUGUAGCGGUGAAAUGCUUAGAUAUCACGAAGAACCCCGAUUGCGAAGGCAGCUUACUAAACUGUGACUGACAUUGAUGCUCGAAAGUGUGGGUAUCAAACAGGAUUAGAUACCCUUGUAGUC